AAUAAGGUGGAUACUGCUGAUCAUUUCAAACUUUUCAAACUUCUUUUUGACACUGAACGAACAAAAAACUUAUCCAUGCGUACAGGGCCUUAAUGAAAGCCAUCUUCCUUAAUAAUUUGCAUCUCUGCUCUCCUUUUUCCCACAGUAAAAUGGCAGUGACGCACAAAGGAAAUGGUUUACAGUAGAUUAGCCAGAAAUUGUAAUGUGUGAACACCUAAACAGUUUCUCGGGAGCACACAAUAGUUUUUUUUUUUUUUAAGAGAGAUAAUUUUUGGACCAAUUUCAACUAUAAUAAUCUUUGUAUUUAGUGAUUGAAGUUCUAAAAUAUUAAACCACUGCUUAAAACUAAUUACAUAAAUGAUUUCAGGUAAACACACUGGCUCUUAAAGGUGGGGCGGACGUGCAGGAGUCUGUUUGGAGAAUCAUGCAUGGUCUGUUUACCAACUCCUUGGCGAGGAAAGUUAACAUGAGAGGAUUGAAUGGAAAGAUUAGCUUCCUACGCCUACAGAUACGAGAUGUUGUGAUUGCGGCUGUGAGACGUAACCGCCUAACAUCCGAUGCCACAGAGAAAGACAUUGAUUCCACCGUUAAAAGAUGGCUGUAUCUGGCCCCAGACAGAGAUGGUGGACAGAAAGAAAGGAUGAAGAGCAAAGUGCAUAAGGACAAUAUGACUGGUUAACAGGCUUUAGGCUUGGAUGUUCAAAAGCUCUGUCCAGAGUUCAACUUGUUCAGUGACAGAAUCAUGACUGUUUCAGAGUCAUUUGAAGAGUUCUACUUGUUCCUAGCCAUAAACGUGGACGU